rnacentral:tRNA from 1 species
GGUUGAUUAGCUCAGUGGGUUGAGCGCAGUGCUGUCAACAAUGACAACAGCGAGGUCGCGGGUUCAAUUCCUGCUCGGUCC